rnacentral:rRNA from 1 species
AUUGAACGCUGGCGGCAGGCCUAACACAUGCAAGUCGAACGAGUGGCGGACGGGUGAGUAAUGUCUGGGAAACUGCCCGAUGGAGGGGGAUCACUACUGGAAACGGUAGCUAAUACCGCAUACCAUCGGAUGUGCCCAUAUGGGAUUAGCUCGUCGGUGGGGGAACGGCUCACCUAGGCGACGAUCCCUAGCUGGUCUGAGAGGAUGACCAGCCACACUGGAACUGAGACACGGGCCAGACGCCGACGGGAGGCAGCAGUGGGGAAUAUUGCACAAUGGGCGGAAGCCUGAUGCAGCCAUGCCGCGUGUAUGAAGAAGGCCUUCGGGUUGUAAAGUACUUUCAGCGAGGAGGCGUUACUCGCAGAAGAAGCACCGGCUAACUCCGUGCCAGCAGCCGCGGUAAUUC